UGGACGCAUCACUGGUGUUCGGGUUGUCAUGCCAAUGGCACUGCCCGGUAGCUAAAUGCGGAAGAGAUAAGUGCUGAAAGCAUCUAAGCACGAAACUUGCCCCGAGAUGAGUUCUCCCUGACUCCUUGAGAGUCCUGAAGGAACGUUGAAGACGACGACGUUGAUAGGCCGGGUGUGUAAGCGCAGCGAUGCGUUGAGCUAACCGGUACUAAUGAACCGUGAGGCUUAACCUUACAACGCCGAAGAUGUUUUG
rnacentral:rRNA from 1 species